UGGGGAAUUUUGGACAAUGGGCGCAAGUCUGAACCAGCCAUGCCGCGUGAAGGAUGAAGGUCCUCUGGAUUGUAAACUUCUUUUAUAUGGGAAGAAAUGUACUUUUUCUAAAGUCCUUGACGGUACCAUAGGAAUAAGCACCGGCUAACUCCGUGCCAGCAGCCGCGGUAAUACGGAGGGUGCAAGCGUUAUCCGGAUUUACUGGGUUUAAAGGGUGCGUAGGCGGAUGAAUAAGUCAGUGGUGAAAUCUCCGGGCUUAACUCGGAAAAUGCCGUUGAUACUAUUUGUCUUGAAUAUUGUGGAGGUAAGCGGAAUAUGUCAUGUAGCGGUGAAAUGCUUAGAUAUGACAUAGAACACCAAUUGCGAAGGCAGCUUGCUACACAAUCAUUGACGCUGAGGCACGAAAGCGUGGGGAUCAAACA
rnacentral:rRNA from 1 species